rnacentral:rRNA from 1 species
AUUGAACGCUGGCGGCAGGCCUAACACAUGCAAGUCGAGCGGAAGAAGGGAGCUUGCUCCUGGAUUCAGCGGCGGACGGGUGAGUAAUGCCUAGGAAUCUGCCUGGUAGUGGGGGAGAACGUCCGGAAACGGGCGCUAAUACCGCAUACGACCUGCGGGAGAAAGUGGGGGGGGUUCGGACCUCACGCUAUGAGAUGAGUGUAGGUCGGAUUAGCUAGUUGGUGGGGUAAAGGCCUACCAAGGCGACGAUCCGUAACUGGUCGGUGAGGAUGAUCAGUCACACUGGAACUGAGACACGGUCCAGACUCCUACGGGAGGCAGCAGUGGGGAAUAUUGGACAAUGGGCGGAAGCCUGAUCCAGCCAUGCCGCGUGUGUGAAGAAGGUCUUCGGAUUGUAAAGCACUUUAAGUUGGGAGGAAGGGCAGUAAGUUAAUACCUUGCUAUUUUGACGUUACCAACAGAAUAAGCACCGGCUAACUUCGUG